AAUGGGGGAAAAAGUUUUGAAAUGAUUUAUCUUGGUCUAUUUUUUUUACAUCACAAAAACCUGCCAUUUUAACAAGGGUGUGUAGACUUUUUAUAUCUACUGUACAUUUCACUAAACCUGC